rnacentral:rRNA from 1 species
GAUGAACGCUGGCGGCGUGCUUAACACAUGCAAGUCGAACGAACCUUCGGGUUAGUGGCGGACGGGUGAGUAACGCGUGAGAAUCUGCCCUCAGGAGGGGGACAACAGCUGGAAACGGCUGCUAAUACCCCAUAUGCCGCGAGGUGAAAUGAAUUCCGCCUGAGGAUGAGCUCGCGUCUGAUUAGCUAGUUGGUGUAGGUAAUGGCUCACCAAGGCAUCGAUCAGUAGCUGGUCUGAGAGGAUGAUCAGCCACACUGGGACUGAGACACGGCCCAGACUCCUACGGGAGGCAGCAGUGGGGAAUUUUCCGCAAUGGGCGAAAGCCUGACGGAGCAACGCCGCGUGAGGGAUGAAGGCCUCUGGGCUGUAAACCUCUUUUAUCAAGGAAGAAGAUCUGACGGUACUUGAUGAAUAAGCCACGGCUAAUUCCGUG